AUUGAACGCUGGCGGAAUGCUUUACACAUGCAAGUCGAACGGCAGCACGGACUUCGGUCUGGUGGCGAGUGGCGAACGGGUGAGUAAUGUAUCGGAACGUGCCCAGUCGUGGGGGAUAACGUAGUGAAAAUUACGCUAAUACCGCAUACGAUCUAUGGAUGAAAGCGGGGGAUCGCAAGACCUCGCGCGAUUGGAGCGGCCGAUAUCAGGUUAGGUAGUUGGUGGGGUAAAGGCCCACCAAGCCAACGAUCUGUAGCUGGUCUGACAGGACGACCAGCCACACUGGAACUGAGACACGGUCCAGACUCCGACGGGAGGCAGCAGUAGGGAAUUUUGGACAAUGGGCGAAAGCCUGAUCCGGCCAUUCCGCGUGCAGGAUGAAGGCCCUCGGGUUGUAAACUGCUUUUGUACAGAACGAAAAGGUUUCUACUAAUACUAGGAGCUCAUGACGGUACUGGAAGAAUAAGCACCGGCUAACUACGUGCCAGCAGCCGCCGUAA
rnacentral:rRNA from 1 species